AGAUAACUACACAUAUACAAUAUUCCCAGAAUGGGUUCUCAUAAAGUUAAACUGGAGAAUUGGUAUUUUGGAUCUAGGUGAAGGAGCAGUCGGCCCGAGUCAGUUGGAUAACAACAAAGAACGGAGCUGGUAAUCAUCGAGUUUUAUUAAGCUCAUUCGAGUCGCUGGUUGGGUAUGGGGGCAAUACACUACGCAGAUUGAGCAGAGAGAAAGGAAGGAAGUGAGAGAGGACAAGGGCGACGGCAGCGGCAUCGUGGUAGGGGAGGCGGUAGUUGAGCAUGAAAAGAUGGAGUUAAAGUUAACUCAGAAGAGGGCUUUUCGAUUUUUUUCCAAAGAGAUAACUGUCAUUAUUGUUUUUCCUUUCCCUAAUAGAAAUAAAUGAAUUACAGUAAGUGGCGUCAAGAAAGAGGCGUGACCGCUUAAUUUUUCUAAGAUUAAAAGAUUAAUAUCUU